ACUGGAGUCAGCUGGAGUGAUCCACUGUAUCUAGCUCUGUCCUUUCAUAUAGCCUGAGCCCUGGGGCGGGUCCUGCAUUGUGGGAUUGUCCUUGUGUGUGUGUGUGUGUGUGUGUGUGUGUGUGUGCACGCAAAGGAGAGGGAGGGAAAACCACCAACCACCCCUGUGAGGAAACAACUUUGGAAUGUGUGUGUCCUUGUCCACGAGAGUUCGGAUUACAGAAAAUGGAGUAUACUGUGAGAACCGACAGGUUUACUCCAUUCUAAAGGCAGUAAAAGUUUUUGAGGUAUCUGGCAUGAUACAGAGUUCCAGAUGUGGCCCAGGGAAGGAGGGGGAAGAAAAGGUUGGCUAUAGUUCAGAGAUGAUCUCACAUCCCCCCGAAUGCUGAACUCCCAGGGGGUGGCCAUAUUCAGGCUCACCCUAACUCUAUCAUUAUCCAGACUAUAUUGAUACUGAUGUAGUUGUGCAUUUUAAUGGUCUGUAACAUCUCUAACUGGGUAUGCUUCAUCAUUGAGGGCAGUGGUGGCUUAGCGGUUAAGGCUCUGGGUUACUGAUAGGAAGAUCAGGGGUUCAAGUCCCAGUGCUACCAAGCUGCCAUUGUUGGGCCCUUGAGCAAGGCCCUUAACCCUCUCUGCUCCAGGGGUGAUGUAUCAUGGACGACCCCAACAUCCUGGCAUGCUGGGGUAUGCAAAGAAAAGAAUCGCACUGUGCUAUAAUGUAUAUGUGACCAAUGAAGACUCAUUAUCAUUGUUACAUUUGCUUGUUCACCUUUGUGCUACCCACAUUUACCAUAUCAAGUUUUCCUUCUGUGCAAUUGCCUUCAUGGUGCCAUAGUAACUAAACAACAUGCAACAAACUAAAUGACCUCUCUUUUUUUUUGUUUUGCAUGAGUUCCAUUGUUCAUUGCAGGAUGUCUGAGAUUCCAGUGUGUAAGCCAGUGUCCUAACCUGUAUUGAACUGUGGAAGUUGGCAUCCAGCCACAUAUGAGCAGUUUCCCAUGUAAGACAGCUGAUGACUCUUGAUCAUGUCAUGGUAAGAACACACUCAGGUACGGGUGUGUAGAGCUGGAUAUGCAAUGAAUAGUGACAUUGUUCCCAGGCUGGCGAGUUUCCCUUUGU